rnacentral:rRNA from 1 species
AGUCGAGCGGUAACAGGUGUAGCAAUACAUGCUGACGAGCGGCGAACGGGUGAGUAAUGCUUCGGAAUCUUCCUCGUAGUGGGGAAUAACCUGGGGAAACUCAGGCUAAUACCGCAUAAGAUCUACGGAUGAAAGCGGGGGACUCGUAAGAGCCUCGCGCGAACGGAGCGGCCGAUGUCAGAUUAGGUAGUUGGUGGGGUAAAGGCCCACCAAGCCGACGAUCUGUAGCUGGUCUGAGAGGACGACCAGCCACACUGGGACUGAGACACGGCCCAGACUCCUACGGGAGGCAGCAGUGGGGAAUAUUGGACAAUGGGGGCAACCCUGAUCCAGCAAUACCGCGUGUGUGAAGAAGGCCUUCGGGUUGUAAAGCACUUUUAGCAGGAAAGAAAGCCUGUACGUUAAUACCGUACGGUUUUGACGUUACCUGCAGAAAAAGCACCGGCUAACUCCGUGCCAGCAGCCGCGGUAAUAC